AGGAGUCGUGUCCAGCCUGGCCUCCCAGAUUUGAGCAAUCUUUCACUGUCAAGAGAGGCUGGGAGAUUGAUUCAAUUAAGAUUAGCAGAGUCGGAAAAAUGGCAUCUGGGUUAGUUUUGGUCCUAAAAAAAAAAAAAAAGGUCCUGCUCCUGGUGACUUGGCACAACUUGUCACACACUGUUCCACCCUGUUCCGCACAGCCACGCAGGGCUGGCAUCCUCGUGGGCUGUGCAGGAGUGGCCUCACCCAUCCUUAGAGAUGAAAAUGCUUAUGCCUGCACGCAGAAGAAGACGAGGAGGAGACUGCUCUCUGUGAAACACACACAGAGAAAGGGCCACGUGAGGACACAGUGAGAAGCAAGGAGAGAGGUCUUAGCAGAAAUCAGCCCUGCCAGCACCUUGAUCUUGGACUCCCAGGCUCCAGAACGAUGAGAAGAGACAUCUGUACUGAAGCCA